CUGCAAACAGAAAAAUCAUUGGAAGGCUCAGUGUCCGUUGUUACUUAACAAGGUCAAACAGCCUCAAUCUGGGCAGCAACAGAAAUAUGGGCUAACAAAGGUUUCCGCAGAAAAGACCAAAAUAGCUCCGCAAGCUCUUCUGAGGGUUGUGGCUCAAGUGUCAAACGCAGUAGUAGUGCUGAUGCUGGUCAUCUUGGUGAUGCAACUGAGCCUUGCACUGGUGAUGGCUGUACCUGGAAUAACAUUGAGGGGAUUAAUAGUGAUAAGAGCAUAGACAGUGGAAGACCAAGUCUAGCUCUGCGUAGUAGUUCUUGUCGUUCAAUUGUUCGAAAGACUGAAGUAGGAUCAUCAUAUGUUUACACAAAUUUAGAGCAGAAUAGGUCAUUGGUUGUUUGUUCUAGCAGCGGCCUUGAAAGCCAAGGCGGUGAUUCCAGUACAUCCACUUCUGCAAAUCAACAGAUACUGCACUUGAAUUUGGCACUUGCAUUUCAAGAAAAGUUGAGUGAUCCCAGGAUUACAUCUAAUGUUAAAGCGGAAAGGAAGACAUACUGAUCGUGAAUUGGCUAAUUUAUUGCAAGAUAAAGAGCUUGAUCCUAAUUUUGCAGUGAUGCUGAAGGAGGAUGGAUUGGACCCAAUGAUUCUAGCCUUGUUGCAGAGAAGUAGUUUGGAUGCUGAUCGAGAACAUCGUGACAGUAACCCUCCUGUCACUGAUUCAACUGGUGUUGACGAUGUGUUACCUAAUCAUAUUUCAUUCUCGGAAGAACUUAGACUCCACAGAUUAGGAAAGUUGCUUCAACGUUGUAGAGUAAUUUUGCAUCAUGUAGCAGGAACUCCAGAGCGAGCAUGGCUUCUUUUCAGUUUAAUAUUCAUUUAUGAAACCGUCAUUGUGGCUAUCUUCUGGUCAAAGACAAUAAAACUUCUGAAUGCUACAUGCUAACAGUUUGAAUUUGGCAUCACGGUUCUUCUUUUGUCUCCUGUUGUCUGUUCUAUUUUGGCCUUCCUACGGUCGCUGCAAGCUGAAGAUUUUUCCAUGACUUUAAAGCCUUGGAAGAUGCUCAGUCUUUCAAAUUCUUCCGGCUCAGCUCAUGCUUCGGUUCAUGAAAAGGAUCAAUGCGGGGGAUCAAAUUUGAAUGGUGGGUGCCACAACUCAACUUGAUCGAGAUUGAAGUGAAUGAUGAAGAAUUUUUGAAAUAUUUUGAUAUACGUUUAUAUACAUUUGUUUUUUGUGGAACUUGAGUACAAUUUUUUAUUAUGUUGUUUUCUUAUUAGUAUGUAAAAGACAUGUUUUUCUGAAAUCAAAUCUAUGCACUUCAAUUAUUUA